AUUUGAGAGGAGACACCCAACAGCCACUACUAACCUCCUCCUCUCACUUCUCUAGAAGUUUCCUGACAGCCUUUCACAACAUCUUUGUAUAAUAUUUGCUGGUGAGACUCAUGCAAAAUUCUGAACUCAGAGCAUGGUUCUGACAGCAGUGCUGUAGACAUGGUCUCUCAGCAUCUCUCCAGCACUGCUUGUUUCUGACAUGCUACUGAUAAGCACUGCAGUGUGAGUGAUGAACAGAGGGCAUUGCUGUGACAAGCUGAAAGAACUCAGGUGGGACCUCUCUGCUUCAUGGACACAUUUUAUGGCAUCUGGAAAGGAGGUCUGGAAAAAUAGGCUCUGUCCUCAACAUGCCCAUGGGAGUCUUGGCAGCCUCUGCAGCAUUCGUCUCUGAGCUGAGCCUCAGCAGCAGGAAGACUGAAAUUGAAACUAGAGAGACAGGAGCUUAUCAUGACUGCCCUCAAAGAACACCUGAAAGACCCUGAUGCAUAUACUUAGACCCAACCAAUGGACAGAAGCUGCUGACCCCUGUUGUUGAAUAAAGGAAAGGCUGGAAGAAGCUGAGAAGGACUACCCCAUAGGAAGACCAGCAGUCUCAAAUAACCUGGACCCCCAAAAUUUCUCAGACACUGAGCUACCAACCAGGCAGCAUAGACUAGCUGAUAUGAGGCCCCGACACACAGGUAGCAUAGGACUGCCUGGUAUGGCCUCAGUGAGAGGAGGUGCACCUAACCCUCUAGAGACUUGAGGCCCCAGAAUGUGGGGAGGUUUGGUGGUAUGGGGGUUGAGGGGUGGGGCUAUCCUUUUGAACUCAAGGGAGGAGGAAUGGGAUGAGGAACAGUUGGAGGGCAGACUGGGAAUGGGAUAACUACUGGAUUGUAAAAGAAGAUUAAAGAAUAAUAAAAAAAUAUUUUUUAAUUACCAA
rnacentral:lncRNA from 1 species